rnacentral:rRNA from 1 species
CUUCUCGCUGACGAGCGGCGGACGGGUGAGUAAUACUUAGGAAUCUGCCCAGUAGUGGGGGAUAGCACGGGGAAACUCGUAUUAAUACCGCAUACACCCUACGGGGAAAAGGGGGCGCUUGCGCUCUCGCUAUUGGAUGAGCCUAAGUCGGAUUAGCUAGUUGGUGGGGUAAAGGCCUACCAAGGCGACGAUCUGUAGCUGGUCUGAGAGGAUGAUCAGCCACACCGGGACUGAGACACGGCCCGGACUCCUACGGGAGGCAGCAGUGGGGAAUAUUGGACAAUGGGGGCAACCCUGAUCCAGCCAUGCCGCGUGUGUGAAGAAGGCCUUUUGGUUGUAAAGCACUUUAAGCAGUGAAGAAGACUCUAUGGUUAAUACCCAUAGACGAUGACAUUAGCUGCAGAAUAAGCACCGGCUAACUCUGUGCCAGCAGCCGCGGUAAUACAGAGGGUGCAAGCGUUAAUCGGAAUUACUGGGCGUAAAGCGAGCGUAGGUGGCUUAAUAAGUCAGAUGUGAAAUCCCCGGGCUUAACCUGGGAACUGCAUCUGAUACUGUUGGGCUAGAGUAGGUGAGAGAGAGGUAGAAUUUCAGGUGUAGCGG